UUUUGCAUAAUGAAGUUAUUAUAUUAUCUCGUUUCCUAAUUUUCAGAUAAAAAUAGAGUAUUGUUAAAUUCAAACUAGAUGUAAUUAAUUGUAUAGAAUGUUCCAAAAUGAUGGACCCAUAUUACUCUAAAAGUUACAAAUAGUGUAAUGAGUAAUCAGGUUAUCAGUUUAUCAAACUUUAUUAACCAUUCUUAGUCAGAAACAAAUCUAAAAAAUAAUUCUGCCAAUGGCGAAUAUCUUAGGAGCCCUUACGUUGCAGGGUCACCAUCUGGCAAAUGAGUAAGGCUGGGGGCUAUUUGUGCACUGAGAGAGGCAUCUGGUGGAAAUCAUUUGAAACUUUAUGCCCCCCCCCCCCCACUUUCAAGUGGUAAGUUUAAUUCAUGGGCAGUUCAUGCUGGCAGAGACAUAGCAAUUUCAAAUCAAAUCAAUCUUUCUGAAACAUCUCAUAUUCUGAAAUUGCUUUAGAUCAGUGGUUCUCAACCUGUGGGUCCCCAGAUGUUUUGACCUUCAACUCCCAGAAAUCCUAACAGGCGGUGAACUGGCUGAGAUUUCUUGGAGUUUUAGGCCAAAAUACCAGGAGACCUACAGGUUGAGAACCACUGCUUUAGAUCUUCAUUAUCAUCACCCCAAAUAUUGAAUGAAUUAUGGAAUUGCUUUGGCAAAAACUGAGUUUGUUACUUUAUUAAUUGUUAGAAUAAGAUUCCUUGUAUAAAAUCUUCCAUUAAAAGAUUUCCUAUUUCUGCUGCCAUGGGGUAGGUACCCUAUGGGCAACCCUUUAAUUUACCAAUAGUAUUAUUGUUUCUCAAAUAUAAGCGACGAUGACAGAAAAGGGAAGGUAACAAUCCAGCAGGACUGAACUUUUUUGUGCCUCACUGGGCUGGCUGACUCCAUCCUGCUGCUGUUGGGGGACAGUCACCUCUGACCCCAUAUUUUCUGAUGUCUGUAUAGAUCAGGCAUAGGUAAACUUUGGCCCUCCAGGUGUUUUGGACUUCAACUCCCACAAUUUCUAACAGCUGGUAGGAGCAGAAGUUGGUCCAAAUCACCUAGAAGGCCAAAGUUUGCCCAUGCCUGGUAUAGAUGAACCCUAAGGGAAGACAUAGAGCAAUUGAGUCCUGGGAUUUGCUUUGAUUGGAUUUUUUCCCGUUUUGUCUCUUAUAUAGCCCAGAGAUGUCCCUUCUUCAACUGCAAUGCUUAGAAUUUUGGAAUUACAUUCAAGUGGAUUACUUUCACAAAUCUUAUAAGCAGAGUGGUCUGCUUUCUCCUUUAUAAACUGACAGAUCUUAUAUCACAAUAACACCUCCCUUAUCUGCUUAUUUUAAAACUAUAAAAGUAUCUGCUGGAAGGUCUUGAACAGCUUUCCUUUGCCUCCUACUCAUAUUAUUAUUAUUUUGUUUUUUUCUAGCUCAUGUGAGACCAAGCCUUCAAAAACUGUUCUGGAAGGAUCUGUGGGAGAGGGUGGCAUAAAUCUAGAUGGCAUUUAAAAUCAGUAUCUGUCAUUUAAUGGUAAUUGUAUUGUAUCCCCAAGUAGUGUCUCAAUAUAUUUUUGAAGAACUGAAAUAGAUCUAAUCCGACCUGUACUGGAUCAUCUUUGAGUGUGAGAACAUAAGAACACUAUUUUCCUAAUACCAGUUUUAUAUAACAGCAAUGUCCUUGAAGACCAAGUUUGUUACUGCUUUUUCUUCUGUGUCACUUUGCAUUUCUUGUGACCAGAUAUUGCUCUGCUGUUGUUGAGUCUGCUCUGCUGUUGUCUUGCACUUCCACUACAAUUCUGGUGUAGCAACCGUGAUUCAUUACUGUGAAUCAUUGUCUAUUCCCCACCUAAAUCUUACUCUUUUCUGAUCUUAUAUGAAGAAGACAAACCUUUUCUUGUUUUUGUAUAUAACCAGGGGUGUUCUGUUUGUAAUUAUAUUAAUCUCUAAGGAUUUUUUUAUACUUAAAAACCUAAAGAUCUUCAUAGCAUUUUUCAGUUCUGUUUCCAGGUUUGCCAAUUUUGCCUCAACCUGCUUUCUUACAUGUUCUGUUUUCUACUUCAGUGCUGAUUUUAUUUCUGUAUUAACCUUAGAGGCUGUCUCUGUGAGUACUAUAAUCAAAUCUUGGCAGAUUUGAUUAAAAUAGCACACCACUUUUCCAUUAAAUCAUCAUUACCUUGAAAUGUACCUCAAAAUUCUCAGCCCUUAAGGAAUCCGCUAUUCUUGGUAGUAUUUAAGCAGUGUUCAGUCAUGUCAUUACAGUCUCUAAAAUAAAUUACAAUAUUCUACAUAACACAUCACAUACACAUAGCUUUAUGCAGAAAUUUCUGGAGUUGUGUAAUAUAGGGCAAUUUUAUCCAGUUUAGAAAACUUAUUCUGACGUCUUAAUCCUUAAAUUGAACAAAGAUGCUAUGAUGAGGGGAAAUCCUCAAAAAUUGGCAGAUAGACUGAAUCAUAGCUAUUCCUAAACCAGAAUGUGAUCCAUAUAAAGUCACUAUCUACAUGGCAGUAACUGUCUAAUAAUCAGGACUUUAAAAUCUUUAUUUUCCUCUUAUUUUCCAACACAUUAAAGCUUUUAUUGAUAAAUAUACACAUCUGGACCAAAUGGGUUUCAUUCCUAAUAGGCUGCUUUCGGACACAGUGUGGAGGGUUCUUAACACCAUUCAUAACUAUAAUCAGAUGCGUAAAGAGCUAACCCAUUCUUUCCUCGGAUGCCCUUAAGGCUUUUGACAGAGUGGUCAGAUCCUUCUAGGUUCUUGGAGAAAAUAGAAUUUAAAAUUAAUAGAAUCAUAGAGCUGGAGAAGACCACUAAGCCAUCCAGCCCAACUUCCUACCAUGUAGGAGGACACAAUAAAAGCUCCCCCAACAGAUAGCCAGCCAGCCAGUGCUCAAAAACCUCCAGAGAAGGUGGCUUCACAACACUCCAAGGCAGUAGAUUCCACUGUCGCACAGCUCUUACCAUUACGAAGUUCUUUCUAAUGUUUAAGUGGAAUCUGUUUUCAUGCAAUUUCAUGCAAUUGCUCCAUGUCCUGGUCUCCGGAACAGCGCAAAACAAGUUUAUCCCCUCCUCAAUGUGAAAUCUUUUCAAAUAUUUAAACAUAUCUAGCAUGUCCGCUCUCAGCCCUGUUUUAUUUUGGUCAUCCUUCUCGAGACACUUUCGAGCUUGUCAAAAUCUUCCUUGAAUUGUGGUGCCCAGAACUGGACAUAGUAUUCUAGGUGCGGCUUGGCCAAAUUGAUAUUAGGGAAUUAAUUACUUUUACAUGCUUGUUUUUUUAAAAAAUCUAUAAUUGAUAUAAAGCCUACUUUCACACUAGUCACUCAGACUCUAAAAUCACCCAACCUGAAGAAGAUUCAAGACAGAGUUCAAUUGUUUGCUGUAGCAGAAAGAUCAAGGGGACCAUGGAAAGAUUUUAGGGAGUCCUUGAACUUGAAUUGAAAAAAAUAAACUUGUCUUUAUUUUUGCUGGCCUGUAACUGAAAAUUAGCUAAAAUUUUGAGAACGCAUAUUGUUGUAAUGAAGACAUACAUUUUGCCUACAAUGUUUUUCUUUUCUUUUCUUAUCUGUUCCAAUCUAUUCUAAAAAGGAUAAUUGAUAUGCUGACAAAGAAUGCUAGAAAGUUUUAUUUCACAAAGAAAAAGACUUAGCUUUUCAGGUAACAUUAGAUACUUACUUGUAUCUAAAGAAGCACUAGCAUUAUGCAAUUUAUACAGAUAUUCAGCUGCUUGUGAAGUUAAACAAGUUAUUCAACAAAUAAGUAAUGAUUGAUAUGCAUAUUGGACUAACAUGACUAACAUUAUUCAUCUGUGGCAAAGAGUAAGUCACAGGAAAGUCUGAGUUAAGCUCCUUAAUGCACUGCAGCAGAUCCGUGUAGACCAGAUCCAGGGCGAAAUUGACUCAUGCAACAGAGGUCUGCCUUUGCUGGAAUAUUUCAUAAAUUAGGAACAAAGGGAUGAUGGAGCACUCGAAAAUUCCCCAAGGACAAGGCUGGCUAGCAGAGGGCUGUCCCGUUGAUAUGGGUAAUUGAUUAUCUCCACUUCUAACUGUCAUGUUCCCUUUUUUCACCUCCUAUGCCUCUGGAGUGCUGAUGCGCAUCUCUCCCAGAAAUUGGGGGGGGGGGGGGGGAAACAUACAGAGUAGUUUGAGGCCAAGAUCCAUAGUUAAUGUAAUCACCGUACUGGCUUCAAACCAGCUCCAGACCUGUCAUUCUAAUCACUUGUGCAGUGAAACCAGUUCCUCCCAAAACAGUUCCAAGCAUCAGGUAGAUGGAUCAUCAGAAAACAAUAAAAAAUCAAUUGAAAAGGGAUUUCAUCUCAUGCUGGAGAAAAUGGGCCAAGCUAUGUAUUCCUUUACUACUUUACAUUAAACUAGUCUUCUUAGAAAAGUAAUUCAGCAAUAAGAAAUCCAACAUGAGUACGAAGGGGACAGGGAAAACAAAUAUUUUUAAUUGAUAAACAAAUAAGGAAGAUGUUAGUUUAUUGAUGCUUAGAUCAUAGGCUAUUCACAAACAAACAAACAGAUACAUAAACAUGCAACAAUAUAAAAGUACUGGAUAAAACAAUUGACAUAAAUAUUCAAUAUUAUUAAAAUGCAACACAAUACAUCAGAUAUGAAGCAUCAAUAUUAAAAUUUAUACUAGAUAAAAUUCAUUUACCUAACAGCAUAAGCAUAACAAUCUUCUGCAAUAUAAAUGUUUAUUGCUACCAAGGUGAAAGGAGAAAUCUUGCAAACUACCAUAGAAUUGGGUUGCUGUGAGGUUUUCAGGCUGUAUGGGUAUGUUCCACCAGAAUUCUCUCAUAACGUUUUGCCUGCAUCUGUGACUGGCAUCUGGCACAUUGUUAGAAUGUACAUUGUACAGAAUAGAUCCCAAGAAUUUGGAUCUUGAUUCUGAACGUUAUGUGCAGAAAAGCAAAUGUGGCAAAUUUCUGGGUCCCAAAAAUACACAAAAGUAGGGCCAGAUGGAGAAUACCUGCCAACAGUCAUGAUUAAGCAUGAAGAUAACUGUUGUAAAAGCUGUCCUGGAUUUUAGAAAUUUAAGCUUAUCUAGGUAAAUAGCCCAUUGAUUUUUGAAUCUGAAAAUCUGAAUUGAUUGCCGGUUGUAUACCAUGGUUAAAAUAUAUUCUCAAAGCUUAUCUUUUGAGUUUGAUAGAAAAAUUGUCAAGUGGAGUAGGCUAUCACUGCAGCAAUUUGAUAUCUCGAACUUCACAUAAUUAAGGAAAUGGUAUUGGAAGAAAUUAUUACUAAAUAUUAGAGAUGGCAAUGAAGAACCUCCUUUUAGAAAUACUACUCCUGUUAAAAAAUACCAGUUCUACUAUUCCAUAGACCUGGUUUGCCUAAAACAAGUUCAAAAACAUCUAGAAAGACAAGAUUUCCCAACCCUUAAUAAAAAGCAAAGAAAGAGACUUGAUGAACCAAUUACAAUGAUGGGAGUCAUCAAGGAACUGGAGUAGAAAACAGACAAGGAACCAGUUCUAUGUAGAUUGAUGGCACAAUAUUGUAAGAUUUUACAACAUCAAUUAAUUGUGCUUUUACAGUAAACCGUGAAUACCAUGUUAAGGACUAAAGUAUCUGAUUCUCUGUGACAGGCUAAUGAAACUAAUUUAUAAAGAAGACUGCAACCUAAAAGAUAAAAAAAACUAUUGGCCAAUAUCUCUGUUCAAUAACAACUAUAAAAUAGAAAUCUCUACUACAUGAGGAUCAAAUAGGUUUUCUAUAAAAGGUAUCUAAGUGAAAAUACCAGAUAUGUUGUGGAUAUUUUGCAACAGUAUGAGACCAAAGCAAGCAGGUUUGAUAUUUUCGAAAAUAAAUGUGUUUAAGACUUUCUUGUGGACUGUUUUGUAAAAGAUAAAAUUCAGGAAAAAAAACUAAGAAUUCAUCAGAUUUAUGCUAACCAACAUGCUCGGAUUUUCAUGAAUAAAGAUGUGACUAAACCAGGGGCCAUCAAACUUUUUAAGUGGAGGGCCGGUUCACAGUACUUCAGAAUGCUGGGCGGCCGGACUAUGAUAAAAUAGUCCAAAAUUAGGAUUGUUGUGGUUGUGUGCCUUCAAGUCAUUUCAGACUUAAGUCAACCCUAAGUCUAAACUGUAGGUCUGGGGCCAGGUAAAUGACCUUGGCGGGCCACAUCUGGCUCACGGGCCUUAGUUUGGGGACCCCUGGACUAAACCGUGCAAAAUAUAGAAAACCAAUUUGAGAGACGGCCAUAUCCCAUGCUGUUUGUUGGAAGCGACUAUCUGCCUUCACUCUGACAUGGUGUUCCUACAGUUCUGCUUCAGAUAACGGCAAUGCUGACCUUUGGAUUGGCUGACAGCUCUGUUUGAUUCUUGGACUCUAGGACUGGCUUUUGACUUUUCUGUGUAUUCUUCUCACAAGCAAACGUUUCAGGCAAGUUUGUUUCCAGAGACUGUUUAAUUGAUCGGCAUUACCUAGAAAUUGAAGGAAAUUGCAUCCUUCUUUCCAACUGUGUGUUCAGUGAAACCUGAAAAAAGCUAGAAAGUUGGGCACCUCAUGUAUUUAUUUCUCUGGGGAAUCAAAUUAGAUUAAAUCCAGCAAUAUAGAAGAUUUCUUUUGGAUAAUCUGGAGGGCUUUAGGGAUGGAGGACAACAGUUUUCCUCCUAUACUGAAAACUCAGCUUUAGGAAGCUUAAGGUGCCAGUAGAACAUCUCAAAUAUGGGUCCAAUGCUGAACAGCUCUUACUGUCAUUUCAGGUUAAGGCCAAUAGUUGAACAGAUUCUACCAGGCACUUCAGAACAUGCAAAAUAUUUGCAGUCUAUGAAUCUAGGGUUUUCUAUGGAGAAGUUGGGCAACUUGGAAGGUGCUGAACAGACUGCACUCUGGCACCACAAGAUGCAGAGCCAACCUUAAGAAAUGGGGCUACAAAGUGGACUGUAGAGAAGAGCAAACCACAGAACACCUACUGCAAUGCAUUCUGAGCCCUGCUACAUGCACAAUGGAGGAACUUCUAACAGCAACACCAGAGACACUCCAAGUGGCCAGCUACUGGGCAAAAGACAUUUAAUAUUAAUGCCAAGUUUUUUUCUUUCUUAAAAAAAUCUCUAUGUUUGCAAAUCCAUUACAACUUGUACCCUUGGUUCACUUCUGACACAAGAAAUAAAUAUGGAGAAGUUUUUUU